GAUGAACGCUGACAGAAUGCUUAACACAUGCAAGUCGAUUCGAUUUACCUUCGGGUAUUGAGGAUGGCGGACGGGUGAGUAACGCGUAAGGAACUUGCCUCUUGGUCUGGGACAACUGUUGGAAACGACAGCUAAUACCGGAUAUUAUGAGAUUCUCGCAUGGGAAACUUAUGAAAGCUAUAUGCGCCAAGAGAGAGCCUUGCGUUCCAUUAGCUAGUUGGUGGGGUAACGGCCCACCAAGGCGACGAUGGAUAGCCGGCCUGAGAGGGUGAACGGCCACAAGGGGACUGAGACACGGCCCUUACUCCUACGGGAGGCAGCAGUGGGGAAUAUUGGACAAUGGGCCACAAGCCUGAUCCAGCAAUUCUGUGUGCACGAUGAAGGUCUUCGGAUUGUAAAGUGCUUUCAGUUGGGAAGAAGAAAGUGACGGUACCAACAGAAGAAGCGACGGCUAAAUACGUGCCAGCAGCCGCGGUAAUACGUAUGUCGCAAGCGUUAUCCGGAUUUAUUGGGCGCAAAGCGCGUCUAGGCGGAAAAAUAAGUCUGAUGUUAAAAUGCGGGGCUCAACUCCGUAUUGCGUUGGAAACUGUUUUUCUAGAGUACUGGAGAGGUGGGCGGAACUACAAGUGUAGAGGUGAAAUUCGUAGNUAUUUGUAGNAAUNCCGAUGGAGAAGUCAGCUCACUGGACAGAUACUGACGCUAAAGCGCGAAAGCGUGGGGAGCAAACAGNAUUAGAUACCCUGG
rnacentral:rRNA from 1 species